CAGCUGUGACUCUGGAUCCUGGGAGUGAUCCUGACAUCCCGGGAAUGAUCCCGGGAAGGAUCUCGCCAUCCCAGCUGUGAUCCCGGAUCCCAGGAGUGAUCCUGACAUCCUGGGAAUGAUCCCGGGACCGAUCCCACAUCCCGGGAAUGAUCCCGGCACCAAUCCCACAUCCCGGGAACGAUCCUGGGACUGAUCCCACAUCCCGGGACUGAUCCCACAUCCCGGGACUGAUCCCACAUCCCGGGAAUGAUCCCACAUCCCGGGACUGAUCCCACAUCCUGGGACUGAUCCCACAUCCCGGGACUGAUCCCACAUCCCGGCGUUUCUCCUCCCUGCUCUGCCCGCGGGAUAUUCCAGGGCUUGGUCCCUGCGAAUCCCCUGGGAAGGGGCGGGACGCCUUUCGGGGGAAAUUCCUUCAUUUCUGAGGUUUUCUGGAAUCCCCCCCUGACUCGGAUUCCCUCUGUUCCCACCCAGAUCCUCCGGCUCCGUCCCGUCCCUCGUUCCAGCAGGAUGAGAGCGGCGGAGCUCCUGCUGCUGUGUCUGCCAGCGCUCCUGGUGCAGGGCCAGUACAGCCGCUUCGAGGGCAUCACGUACCCCGAGCCAGUCCAGUACUCCCAGUACGACCAGCAGGCCGAAAUUCAGGAUUACUACGAUUACCACGGUGAGUGUUUCCCCCCCGGGACCCCGGCGGGGGGAUCGGGGUUUGGGGGUGUCCCUGCACCGGCUCUGUCCUUGCAGAUGUCACCCCCCGAGUCCCGGAGGAGCAAUUCCGGUACCAAUCCCAGCAGCAAUCCCAGCAGGAAACCGUGCCGGCCCCGACCCCAGGUGGGUGACAGUCCCCAGGUGGGUGACAGUCCCCAGGUGGGUGGGUGACAGUCCCCAGGGGUGGGUGACAGUCCCGGGGGUGGGUGACAGUCCCCAGGUGGGUGACAGUCCCCAGGGUGGGUGACAGUCCCCAGGUGGGUGACAGUCCCCAGGGGUGGGUGACAGUCCCGGGGGUG
ensembl:lncRNA microfibril associated protein 2